ACCAGUCCAUUGUGAAGGAGAUCAGCCCUGGGAUUUCUUUGGAAGGAAUGAUGCUAAAGCUGAAACUCCAGUACUUUGGCCACCUCAUGCGAAGAGUUGACUCAUUGGAAAAGACUCUGAUGCUGGGAGGGAUUGGGGGCAGGAGGAGAAGGGGACGACAGAGGAUGAGAUGGCUAGAUGGCAUCACUGACUCGAUGGACCUGAGUCUGGGUGAACUCUGGGAGUUAGUGAUGGACAGGGAGGCUGGCGUGCUGCGAUUCAUGGGGUCGCAAAGAGUUGGACAUGACUGAGCAACUGAACUGAACUGAACUGAAAAGGCAGUAAAAAAAAAAAAAAAAAAUAUAUAUAUAUAUAUAUAUAUAUAUCUCCUAACAGUAGAGCAGCUCCUGGCACAGAGUGAGGACUCAGUAAAUGCAAUUAUUAUUUCGCUUUAUGUAUCUACAAAGCAGACCCCACUAGGAGCCCGACAUUCAUCACCUGCUUCAGUCUUCACAAGGGCUCCCUAAGGAAGGUAGAAGAAUGCUUUCCAUCACAGAGGAGAAGAGAGGCACAGAGAGGGUCGGAGGCUUCCCCAAUGUCACACAGCGGGUGCUGGUGGAGCUGGAUGUUUGGAACUGGGCGAAAGGGGUAGGCGGGCGGUCAGAGCCUGACAUCAUCACUGCCGGAUCUAGAGACCUCAUUUUGCUGGGAAGCCUGUGUGAGAGUCAGGCCUGCUCACUCUGCGCCUCAGCUGUGGACCCCUUCCAGGCCCAAGUUUCAGCCUCGCAGACCGAGUCAGGUGUCGAAAUCCCUCCUCUGAGUCCGCAGGUGGGGAGGUGAGGCUCAGAGAGGAACAAGGGCUUGCCCCAGGUCACACAGCCCACCAGGGGCAGGGCGGGGGUAGACCCUUGACCUCCCGCUGCCCUUGGCCCUCCCCAGCUCAGAGUUCAAGGAUGCGGAGAGGACCAGACAGGGGUUAAAACCCACCCAAACGCGAAACGGCAGCCCCAGCCGCCCCCCGGCCGGGGCUCACUCCCUGACCGCCGCCCCCACCGCGGGCCGGCCCGCAUCUGGGCGCAGGGAACAGAUUUCCCGUUUCACACAGCGCACAAUGGGCCGCCUCAAAGGCGCGCCGCGGGCAUUGUUCGGGCCGGCGCCCGCGCGUCCUACCUCCGCGCGCGAAUUAACCCCCGUCACCCUCGCCAUUGUCGCCGCGCACUUCGGGGCCGGCCACAAAGGCGCCAGAAAACCCUGCCGUGUUCGGAAGGAUGGGGGUGGGGGGAGGGAGCCACGGGGAUGCGAGGACAAAGAAGGGUGCCCUUGGUGGAGACUCUCAGCCCCUGCAUUUGGAUUGCUGCCCGGCCCCCUGCCCCUCCUCCUCCCACAAACAGUUGUGCUGACAUCUCAGGAAAGAAGGGCCUGAGUGGGGGCUUCAUGGAGCCCAUUGUACAGAUGGGGAAGCUAAGGCUCAGAGAUGUCAGUCCAGUGAUUAUAUGCCCUGCCCUGCCCUAUUUUCCGGAGUCAAAUAUUCAGAAAAAUAACCAAGUUGUCCAAGAGUGA
rnacentral:lncRNA from 1 species